UCCGUAUUCUGCGCAGCACCGUGAUGGUCCGCGUUGGUGGAGGAUGGAUGGCCUUGGAUGAAUUUUUAGUGAAAAAUGAUCCCUGCCGAGCACGAGGUAGAACUAACAUUGAACUUAGAGAGAAAUUCAUCCUACCAGAGGGAGCAUCCCAGGGAAUGACCCCCUUCCGCUCACGGGGUCGAAGGUCCAAACCAUCUUCCCGGGCAGCUUCCCCUACUCGUUCCAGCUCCAGUGCUAGUCAGAGUAACCACAGCUGUACAUCCAUGCCAUCUUCUCCAGCCACCCCAGCCAGUGGAACCAAGGUUAUCCCAUCAUCAGGUAGCAAGUUGAAACGACCAACACCAACUUUUCAUUCUAGUCGGACAUCCCUUGCUGGUGAUACCAGCAAUAGUUCUUCCCCGGCCUCCACAGUUGCCAAAACUAAUCGGGCAGGUAAGUACCUGCCCUGUGACCUACAAGCCAGGCUGAGAAUUUGGAAACAGCCUAUGUGGAAUGUUUCACUGCUCCCAAGGAGCCAGUAAUGAGAGUGGCACUUAGUGUGAUGCCCAGAAAGACAGACCUGCAGAUGCUCAAGUGACCUUUACUUUUUCUGUCAUUACAACUAGCUUUCAACUAGCUUUAAGCUUUCCUUCUGAGACGAGAUGUUUCCACAGCCAAAGCUGGGCCAUGCAAUCUCAUCAGAAAUGAUCACAUUUGAGAGAAUGUAAAAGGAAAUGUGGGUCUUCCUCAGACACCAGUCCAGUGUUGCGAUGAGCAGCUUGCUAGUAAUUUUUCCAACACAUCAUACUUAUUAUGGCUGCUGUUGAACCAAGAAAGGCAGGGGAAGAUCACAUCUGUUCUCCUGCUACUGUUCCUCAUGGGAACCUAGGAAUCUGCCUUCAUUUCCUGGCUGGCUGCUUCCCCUCAUUUUGCCUCUAUCCAUCCUGCCCAUGGAUUAGCCCAGCUGGCAGGCUCACCCACCUGUGCUGAGGUGGUUGAGCAACCUUCUUUGCUUCCACUUUGGGGCCAUGGAAGGUGACAGUGCUGCUGAUAGAAGUGGCUUUCUAAUCCCCAGGAGGCAGCUUCUCAAGUAGAAUCACAAAGCCAGAAAAGGCUUCAGCAACUUCUGUAUAGAUGAGGAAACUGGGGUGCAGAAAGGCUGUGAGAUUUGCUUAAGAUCACACAGGAUCAGAACCCUAGCUUCUGCUCACUUGUUCUUCUACCCCAUGCCGUCUCUGUUAAGUCUGCUGUUUUAUUCUUGAAUUCCAGACCCUAAAAAGUCAGCCAGUCGCCCUGGGAGUCGGGCUGGGAGUCGAGCCGGGAGUCGAGCCAGCAGCCGGCGAGGAAGUGACGCCUCUGACUUUGACCUCUUAGAGACGCAGUCUGCUUGUUCUGACACUUCAGAAAGCAGCGCUGCAGGGGGCCAAGGCAACUCCAGGAGAGGGCUAAACAAACCUUCCAAAAUCCCAACCAUGUCUAAGAAGACCACCACUGCCUCCCCUAGGACUCCAGGUCCCAAGCGAUAACACUGUCUAAGCACCCCCAAGCCACUAUCCACUUUGAAUCCUGCUCCAUACAUUGGGUGUAUAUUUAUUCUGAACGGGAGAAGUUAUAUUGUUAAAAGUGUAAAAGAAUAAUUGUGUUAUGAAGCUGCCUUAUUUUUUUCUUUUUGUAAGUUACUAUUUUCAUGUGAAUAUUUAUGUAGAUAAAAUUUGCCUCCUGGUAACCCUGUAAUGGAUGGGGCCCAGAAAUGAAAUAUUUGAGAAAAACAAAUGAAAAGGUCAAGAUACAAAUGUGUAUUAAAAAAAAAAAAAAAAAAAGCCUAUUAAUAGGGUUUCUGCGCGGUGCAGGGUUGUAAACCUGCUUUAUCUUUUAGGAUUAUUCCUAAAUGCAUCUUCUUUAUAAACUUGACUUGCUAUCUCAGCAAGAUAAAUUAUAUUAAAAAAAUAAGAAUCCUGCAGUGUUUAAGGAACUCUUUUUUUGUAAAUCACAGACACCUCAAUUAGCAAGAACUGAGGGGAGGGCUUUUUCCAUUGUUUAAUGUUUUGUGAUUUUUAGCUAAAGAGAGGGAACCUCAUCUAAGUAACAUUUGCACAUGAUACAGCAAAAGGAGUUCAUUGCAAUACUGUCUUUGGAUAUUGUUUCAGUACUGGGUGUUUAAAGGACAAAUAGCUGCUAGAAUUCAGGGGUAAAUGUAAGUGUUCAGAAAACGUCAGAACAUUUGGGGUUUUAAACUGAUUUGUUGCUCCCUAUCCAGCCUAGACACCAGUAACUCUUGUGUUCACCAGGACCCAGACCCUUGGCAAGGGAUAGGCUCGUUGGUGACAUUGUGAAUUUCAGAUUUGUUUUAUCCACUUUUUUUGCUAUUUAUUUAAAUGGUCGAUCAACUUCCCACAAACUGAGGAAUGAAUUCCACGAGCCUGUUCUGAAAAUGUGGACGUAAGACAAACACGUGCUCGUCCUUUAAUGGAGUUCACCAGCACACUUGUUAACCAGUCCUGUUUGCUUUCGUCUUUUUUUGUGCGUAAUAAAGUCAACUGACCAAGUGAUCAUGAAAAGGGGCUGUCUGGGGCUCCUGUUUUUUAGCUGCUGUUCUUCAGCUCCGACCAUGUUGCUGUGUGAUUAUCUCAAUUGGUUUUAAUUGAGGCAGAAACUGAAGCUCUACCAAUGAACUGUUUAGAAACAAGACACACUUUUGUAUUAAAAUUGCUUGCAGUAACAAAUA
rnacentral:sRNA from 1 species